rnacentral:rRNA from 1 species
GACGAACGCUGGCGGCGUGCUUAACACAUGCAAGUCGAACGCUGAAGCUUGGUGCUUGCACUGGGUGGAUGAGUGGCGAACGGGUGAGUAAUACGUGGGUAACCUGCCCUUGACUCUGGGAUAAGCCUGGGAAACUGGGUCUAAUACUGGAUACGACAUGUCACCGCAUGGUGGUGUGUGGAAAGGGUUUUACUGGUUUUGGAUGGGCUCACGGCCUAUCAGCUUGUUGGUGGGGUAAUGGCUCACCAAGGCGACGACGGGUAGCCGGCCUGAGAGGGUGACCGGCCACACUGGGACUGAGACACGGCCCAGACUCCUACGGGAGGCAGCAGUGGGGAAUAUUGCACAAUGGGCGGAAGCCUGAUGCAGCGACGCCGCGUGAGGGAUGACGGCCUUCGGGUUGUAAACCUCUUUCAGCACGGAAGAAGCGAAAGUGACGGUACGUGCAGAAGAAGCGCCGGCUAACUACGUG